UUCAUCUCUGUUAAUUUCAGGCCUGCAACAAAAGUGUUCCAUUCGAAAACAGCAUUAACAAUGAAGAAAAGAAAACAUCACUCCUCAUGCAAAAUAACUACGGAAUAUGGAAAGCUGAUUAUUAGUAGCUGACUAUGUCCCUCUACCAGUGUUUUCAAGACUAGACUCGGCUUGACCACCCCACCACCAACGAUUCUAAAAAGUGUUUCAAUGAACUUGGUAACGGAUCAAGUGGGGGUGUUGUGUGUUCUGUUCUCCGCAUAAAUUUCUCGAACACGACGAGAUCUAAAGCUCUUUCGAUGCAAAUGUGAAAAAAGAAGACAAAACUAAAAGUCAUGUCCUCGUGUGGGAGCAUGAAAGCUUGGGGAGAGGUGCUGUGGCUUUGAAUCAGUUUCGUUCAUUAUCUUGAGCAGAUGAAUUCAGAGUUACAGAAAUAUCAGACCAAAAGCUUCAGAAGUUUAAACAAAUACAAACAUGCAUGCAAAACAGACUAAAAAAAAGAUAGAAAAUAACAAAAGGGUGAUGAAGAAGGGAGAAGGCGGCAUGGACGCCACAUGUUUUAUUUUGGUCAUAAGUUGCAAGCAUCAUGCAUGCCACUUGUACUCAUUCCUCGCUUCAGUUUUCACAGUAUUAUCAGCCGUUUCGAUUUCAAAACAGCAGUAUAUGGUAACAGGAAGAAGAAGAUUAAAGAAAAAAGGAGAGAGAGAGAGAGAGAGAGCUAAAAUGAGUUUAUGAAUGAGUUUAAGUGAUCAUAAGAAUAAACCUAACAAGUUUUAUAGAUUUAGGUAGACAAAAUCAAUUCGAUCUUGAUUAGUGUCCAAUAAUUUAUUAUAUUUGACUGGAUUUCUCUUUUGAAAUCUAA